rnacentral:rRNA from 1 species
AACGAACGCUGGCGGCAGGCCUAACACAUGCAAGUCGAACGCCCCGCAAGGGGAGUGGCAGACGGGUGAGUAACACGUGGGAACGUGCCCUAAGGUUUGGAAUAUUCCCGGGAAACUGGGAGCAAUACCAAAUGUGUCCGCAAGGAGAAAGAUUUAUCGCCUUAGGAUCGGCCCGCGUCGGAUUAGCUAGUUGGUGGGGUAAAAGCCUACCAAGGCGACGAUCCGUAGCUGGUUUGAGAGAACGACCAGCCACACUGGGACUGAGACACGGCCCAGACUCCUACGGGAGGCAGCAGUGGGGAAUCUUGGACAAUGGGCGCAAGCCUGAUCCAGCCAUGCCGCGUGAGUGAUGAAGGCCCUAGGGUUGUAAAACUCUUUCGCCGAGACGAUAAUGAC